rnacentral:rRNA from 1 species
GUUUAAGUAAUCAAGCGCGCAUGGUGGAUGCCUAGGCGGCAGAAGGCGAUGAAGGACGUUGUAGCAUGCGAUAAGCCUCGGGGAGCCUGCAAACUGGCUUUGAUCCGGGGAUUUCCGAAUGGGGAAACCCGGCCGUUUUACGGUCAUUGCGCACUGAAUACAUAGGUGCGUUAAAGCAAACCCGGGGAACUGAAACAUCUAAGUACCCGGAGGAACAGAAAUCAACCGAGAUUCCCUCAGUAGCGGUGAGCGAAAUGGGAACAGCCCUUAAGCCUGUAUCUAACUAGUGGAAACGGCUGGAAAGUCGUGCCAUAGUGAGUGAUAGCCUCGUACACGAAAGUACGAUGCAGGUGAAAUCGAGUAGAGCGGAACACGUGGAAUUCUGCUUGAAUAUCGGGGGACCAUCCUCGAAGGCUAAAUACUCCCUGCCGACCGAUAGUGGACUAGUACCGUGAGGGAAAGGUGAAAAGAACCCCGGAAGGGGAGUGAAAUAGAACCUGAAACCGUAUGCAUACAAGCAGUGGGAGCCCCAUUUAUGGGGUGACUGCGUACCUUUUGUAUAAUGGGUCAGUGACUUACUUUCUGUGGCAAGCUUAACCGUCUAGGGGAGGCGUAGGGAAACCGAGUCUUAAAUGGGCGCAUAGUCGCAGGGAGUAGACCCGAAACCGGGCGAUCUAUCCAUGGCCAGGGUGAAGGUGAGGUAACACUUACUGGAGGCCCGAACCCACCUAUGUUGAAAAAUGGGGGGAUGAGCUGUGGAUAGGAGUGAAAGGCUAAUCAAGCCCGGAGAUAGCUGGUUCUCCCCGAAAUCUAUUUAGGUAGAGCCUCACAUAUCACUCCAGGGGGUAGAGCACUGUUAUGGCUAGGGGGUCAUCCCGACUUACCAAACCAUGGCAAACUCCGAAUACCUGGAAGUGCAGUGCGGGAGACACACGGCGGGUGAUAAGGUCCGUCGUGGAAAGGGAAACAGCCCAGACCGUCAGCUAAGGUCCCCAAAUCACAGCUCAGUGGGAAACGAAGUGGGAAGGCCCAGACAGCCAGGAGGUUGGCUUAGAAGCAGCCAUCCUUUAAAGAAAGCGUAACAGCUCACUGGUCUAGUCGGCCUGCGCGGAAGAUUUAACGGGGCUUAAGCCGUAUACCGAAGCUGCGGCUCGAUGCGUUCUUCGGAGCGUAUCGGGGGUAGGGGAGCGUUCUGUAAGCCAGUGAAGGUGCGUCGCGAGGCGUGCUGGAGGUAUCAGAAGUGCGAAUGCUGACAUGAGUAACGAUUAUGCGGGUGAAAAACCCGCACGCCAGAAGCCCAAGGUUUCCUGCGCAACGCUAAUCGGCGCAGGGUGAGUCGGCCCCUAAGGCGAGACCGAAAGGUGUAGUCGAUGGGAAACAGGUCAACAUUCCUGUACCGGCCGUAACUGCGAUGGGGUGACGGAGAAGGUUAGGCUUACCGGGCGUUGGUUGUCCCGGGAAAAGCAGGUAGGCGGGCGCUUUUGGAAAAUCCGGAGCGCCGCUAACGCCGAGAUGCGAGACCACCGGCAUUGCCGGGAAGUAGCUGACACCAUGCUUCCAAGAAAAACCUCUAAGCAUCAGGUUGCGGACGACCGUACCGUAAACCGACACAGGUGGGCAGGGAGAGAAUCCUAAGGCGUUUGAGAGAACUCGGGUGAAGGAACUAGGCAAAUUGGUACCGUAACUUCGGGAGAAGGUACGCCUCUGACGGUGACGGGACUUGCUCCCCAAGCUGUCGGAGGCCGCAGUGACCAGGUGGCUGCGACUGUUUACUAAAAACACAGCACUCUGCUAACUCGCAAGAGGAUGUAUAGGGUGUGACGCCUGCCCGGUGCCGGAAGGUUAAGUGAUCUUGUUAGCCCUUUGGGCGAAGCUCGUGACCGAAGCCCCGGUAAACGGCGGCCGUAACUAUAACGGUCCUAAGGUAGCGAAAUNNNNNNNNNNCGGGUAAGUUCCGACCUGCACGAAUGGCGUAAUGAUGGCCACGCUGUCUCCACCCAAGACUCAGUGAAAUUGAAAUCGCUGUUAAGAUGCAGUGUACCCGCGGCUAGACGGAAAGACCCCGUGAACCUUUAC